rnacentral:rRNA from 1 species
UACGUAGGGGGCAAGCGUUUGUCCGGAUUUAUUGGGCGUAAAGAGCGUGUAGGCGGCCUGAAAGGUCAGCUGUGAAAACUCGAGGCUCAACCUCGAGACGUCGGUUGAAACCAUCUGGCUAGAGUCCGGAAGAGGAGAGUGGAAUUCCCGGUGUAGCGGUGAAAUGCGCAGAUAUCGGGAGGAACACCAGUGGCGAAGGCGACUUCCUGGCCUGUUCUUGACGCUGAGGCGGCGAAAGCUAGGGGAGCCAAACGGG